rnacentral:rRNA from 1 species
GAUGAACGCUGGCUACAGGCUUAGCACACGCAAGUCGUGGGGAAACGGCAUUAUGUGCUUGCACAUUCUGGACGUCGACCGGCGCACGGGUGAGUAUCGCGUAUCCAACCUGCCCCUUACUUGGGGAUACCCCGUUGAAAGACGGCCUAAUACCCGAUGUGUUUCAUUGACGGCAUCCGAUAUGAAACAAAGGUUUUUCCGGUAAGGGAUGGGGAUGCGUCUGAUUAGCUAGUUGGCGGGGCAACGGCCCACCAAGGCGACGAUCAGUAGGGGUUCUGAGAGGAAGGUCCCCCACAUUGGAACUGAGACACGGUCCAAACUCCUACGGGAGGCAGCAGUGAGGAAUAUUGGUCAAUGGACGCAAGUCUGAACCAGCCAAGUAGCGUGCAGGAUGACGGCCCUAUGGGUUGUAAACUGCUUUUAUGUGGGAAUAAAGUGGCGCACGUGUGCGCCAUUGCAUGUACCUCAUGAAUAAGGACCGGCUAAUUCCGUGCCAGCAGCCGCGGUAAUACGGAAGGUCCGGGCGUUAUCCGGAUUUAUUGGGUUUAAAGGGAGUGUAGGCGGUCUGUUAAGCGUGUUGUGAAAUUUAGGUGCUCAACAUUUAACUUGCAGCGCGAACUGUCAGACUUGAGUACACGCAGCGCAGGCGGAAUUCAUGGUGUAGCGGUGAAAUGCUUAGAUAUCAUGAGGAACUCCGAUCGCGAAGGCAGCCUGCGGGAGUGUUACUGACGCUUAAGCUCGGAGGUGCGGGUAUCGAACAGG